rnacentral:rRNA from 1 species
UACGUAGGUGGCAAGCGUUGUCCGGAUUUACUGGGCGUAAAGGGCGUGCAGGCGGUCUGUUAAGUCUAGGGUGAAAGCUCCCGGCUCAACUGGGAGAGGUCCUUGGAUACUGGCGGACUUGAGGGAGGCAGAGGAAAGUGGAAUUCCCGGUGUAGUGGUGAUAUGCGUAGAUAUCAGGAAGAACACCGGUGGCGAAGGCGGCUCUCUGGGCCUUACCUGACGCUGAGGAGCGAAAGCGUGGGUAGCGAACAGG